ACCCGCCACUAAAGAGUAAAGAGGCUGAUGCUGGUGGCCUGCAGGCUGAUUUAUGUCACUGUAUAGCUGCAGCAGCUCAGCCUGUCAGAAGUUCAGCCUGUGUGAUAAAACACUUACCUGUUCUUUCAGCUCGUCAAUGGUCUUUUCUGCCACCUUCAUCUCUUCCUGCUGUUUUUCUUUCUGGCUUCUCAGUGCGUCCAGCUCCACAUUCUUCUUCUCCAUCUGCUUCUGCAACUUCACAUGUUCCUGCUUUUCUGAUGCUGACAGAUCGCGCAUCCUGACACACAGGAAAAAAUAGAUCACUAAGGGCGAAGAGACCAGUAAAAGAAGUGUCAACACACCUACCUGACCAGUGCUUCCUUAAGUCUGCCAUUCUGCUCUUCAAGCUGUUUCACAUGGUAACUGGAGGCAGCACCAUCCGAACCUGUGAAAGGCCGGAAAAAUCAACUGAGCUCUAUGGGAUCCGCAGUACCUUUCUCCUCAAUCUCGUGCUUGAGGAUCUCCAGGUCCAUGGUGAGCUCGUCUACUUUCUCCUUGAGGGAGUCGACCUCCAGCUGCAGAGACUCUGCCCUCUCCUCAGCCAUCUCCUUAUCCAGCGUGGCCAUCUCGAUCGCAUCCGCUGUGUCUGACAUCUCCUCCAUGUAAUGCUCCUUCGCCUCCAGGGCUUCUUUAGCCUCCUACACACACAGAACUCUGUUAUGUACAGUUGUCUAUAUAGUCUUAAUACAGUAUUUAAAACCUCCUAGGACAUUUGGACAUUUUUCAACUUCAUCUUAACAAAAGAUGAAGUUAAAAAUAAAAACAAAUUAAUAUAAAGGCAGUAUUAUGUUUUCUUUCUGCUGCUGAAUGGGCACAGUUGGCAAUUCUGCUAACAUCUAAUCAUCUCAUAUUAGUGGAAACACUCCUCUCCUCUACCCUGACAGCAGUAUUGUUCUUGGAUGAAAAACGUAAAUACUUGUCAU